UACGAAGGUUGCAAGCGUUACUCGGAAUUACUAGGCGUAAAGGGCAGGUAGGUGGUUUGGUAAGUAAGAGGUGAAAGCCCAGAGCUCAACUCUGGAAUUGCCUUUUAGACUGCAUCGCUUGAAUCAUGGAGAGGUCAGUGGAAUUCCGAGUGUAGAGGUGAAAUUCGUAGAUAUUCGGAAGAACACCAGUGGCGAAGGCGGCUGACUGGACAUGUAUUGACGCUGAGGUGCGAAAGCGUGGGAGCAACAGG
rnacentral:rRNA from 1 species